CAGGUCCUGGAAGGUCAGUAACACAGCCAGUAACACAGCAAGGUCCUGGAAGGUAAGUAACACAGCCAUUAACACAGCCAGGUCCUGGAAGGUAAGUAGCACAGCCAGGUCCUGGAAGGUAAGUAACACAACCAUUAACACAGCCAGGUCCUGGAAGGUCAGUAACACAGCCAGGUCCUGGAAGGUAAGUAACACAGCCAUUAACACAGCAAGGUCCUGGAAGGUAAGUAACACGGGCAGGUCCUGGAAGGUAAGUAACACAGCCAUUAACACAGCCAGGUCCUGGAAGGUAAGUAACACAGCCAAGUCCUGGAAGGUAAGUAACACAGCCAGUAACACAGCCAGUUCCUGAAAGGUAAGUAACACAGCCAGUAACACAGCCAGGUCCUGGAAGGUAAGUAACACAGCCA